CUCCUUGUCUCUCAGAAGAGUCAAGAUGAUGUCCCACAAUCUGCUUUCCUUACUGAUGAUGUUUGUAUGGGUCCAGGACUCCAGUGGAGAUACAGUGAUGACUCAGUCACCAGAAUCCCUGUCAGUCAGUGCAGGAGAAAGUGUUACUAUCAGGUGCAAAGCCAGUUCGGGUAUUAGUAACCACAUAGCCUGGUACCAACAGAAAUCUGGAAAAGCUCCUAAACUCCUUAUCUAUGAAGCCUCUACCCGUGAUACGGGGGUCCCAGAUCGGUUCAGCGGCAGUGGGUCUGGCACUGAUUUCACAUUCACUAUCAGCAGAGUUGAAGCUGAUGAUGCUGGAGAUUAUUACUGUCAGCAGUAUAACAACUGGCCUCUCACAGUGAUACAGACUAAUACAAAAACCUCCCUGUGA